rnacentral:rRNA from 1 species
UACGUAGGGUGCAAGCGUUAAUCGGAAUUACUGGGCGUAAAAGCGUGCGCAGGCGGUGAUGUAAGACCGAUGUGAAAUCCCCGGGCUUAACCUGGGAACUGCAUUGGUGACUGCAUUGCUGGAGUAUGGCAGAGGGGGGGUGGGAAUUCCACGUGUAGCAGUGAAAUGCGUAGAGAUGUGGAGGAACACCGAUGGCGAAGGCAGCCCCCUGGGCCAAUACUGACGCUCAUGCACGAAAGCGUGGGGAGCAAA